GAUGAACGCUGGCGGCGUGCCUAAUACAUGCAAGUCGAGCGAACAGAUGAUGAGCUUGCUCCUCUGACGUUAGCGGCGGACGGGUGAGUAACACGUGUAUAACCUACCUAUAAGACUGGGAUAACUUCGGGAAACCGGAGCUAAUACCGGAUAAUAUAUUGAACCGCAUGGUUCAAUAGAGAAAGACGGUUUUGCUGUCACGUAUAGAUGGUUCCGGGCCGUAUUAGCUAGUUGUUAAGGUAACGGCUUACCACGGCAACGAUGCGUAGCCGACCUGAGGGGGUGAACGGCCACUCAGGAGGUGAGACGCGGUCCAGGGUCCGAGGGGAGGCAGAAGUAGGGAAUGGACGGAAAUGGGCGGAAGACUGACGGAGGAACGCAGGGGGGGUGAAGAAGGUCUGCGUGUGGUAAAACGGUGUUAUUGGGGAAGAACAAAUGUGUAAGUAACUAUGCGCGACUUGAGGGUACGGGAAAAGAAGAACACGGCUAACUACGG
rnacentral:rRNA from 1 species